rnacentral:rRNA from 1 species
GAUGAACGCUGGCGGCGUGCCUAAUACAUGCAAGUCGAGCGAACGGACGAGAAGCUUGCUUCUCUGAUGUUAGCGGCGGACGGGUGAGUAACACGUGGAUAACCUACCUAUAAGACUGGGAUAACUUCGGGAAACCGUAGCUAAUACCGGAUAAUAUUUUGAACCGCAUGGUUCAAAAGUGAAAGACGGUCUUGCUGUCACUUAUAGAUGGAUCCGCGCUGCAUUAGCUAGUUGGUAAGGUAACGGCUUACCAAGGCAACGAUGCAUAGCCGACCUGAGAGGGUGAUCGGCCACACUGGAACGGAGACACGGUCCAGACUACUACGGGAGGCAGCAGUAGGGAAUCUUCCGCAAUGGGCGAAAGCCUGACGGAGCAACGCCGCGUGAGUGAUGAAGGUCUUCGGAUCGUAAAACUCUGUUAUUAGGGAAGAACAUAUGUGUAAGUAACUGUGCACAUCUUGACGGUACCUAAUCAGAAAGCCACGGCUAACUACGUG